rnacentral:rRNA from 1 species
UAUGUCCUUGGGCUGCACACGUGUACAAUGGCAGGUACAAUGAGUGCGAUGUCGCAAGGCGGCGCGAAUCUCAAAAAGCCUGUUUCAGUUUGGAUUGGGGUCUGCAACUCGACCCCAUGAAGUCGGAGCUGCUGGUAAUCGCAGAUCACCAUUUAGAUGUUGAAUACGU